CGGCCCACCUAGCCUACGACGGGUACGGGCCCUGAGAGGGGGAGCCCGGAGAUGGUCACUGAGACAAGGGUCUAGGCCCUAAGGGGUGCAGCAGGCGCGAAGAUUCCGCAAUGCCCGAAAGGGCGACGGAGUGAACCCGAGUGCCACCCGCUGAGGGUGGCUGUUCCCCUGUGUAAAAAGCAGGGGGCAGAAAGGGGAGGGCAAGGCUGGUGGCAGCCGCCGCGGUAAAACCAGCUCCCCGAGGGGUUCCCACGCAUACUGGGCCUAAAGCGUCCGUAGCCGGCCCUGCAAGUCUGCAGUUAAAUCCGCCUGUAGACAGGCGGGCUGCUGCAGAUACUGCAGGGCUAGGGAGCGGGAGGAGCCGGGGGUAUUCCCGGGGGAGCGGUAAAAUGCGUAGAUCCCGGGAGGACCACCAGUGGCGAAGGCGCCCGGCUUGAACGCGUCCGACGGUGAGGGACGAAAGCUGGGGGAGCAAACCGGAUUAGAUACCCGGGUAGUCCCAGCCGUAAACGAUGCCGGCUAGGUGCUGGCCAAGGUUUCGACCUUGGCCAGUGUCGAAGCGAAGGCAUUAAGCCGGCCGCCUGAGGAGUACGGCCGCAAGGCUGAAACUUGAAGGAAUUGACGGGGGGGCACCACAAGGGGUGAAUGCCUGCGGCUUAAUUGGACUCAACGCCGGGAAUCUUACCGGGGGCGACAGCAGGAUGAAGGUCAGGCUGAAGACCUUACCAGACGCGCUGAGGGGUGGUGCAUGGCCGUCGCCAGCUCGUGCCGUGAGGUGUCCUGUUAAGUCAGGCAACGAGCGAGACCCCCGCCCCUAGUUGCCAGCGGCCUCCUUCGGGAGGGACCGGGCAAACUAGGGGGACCGCCUCCGAAGAGAAGGAGGAAGGUGGGGGCUACGGCAGGUCAGUAUACCCCUAAUCCCCCGG
rnacentral:rRNA from 1 species